rnacentral:rRNA from 1 species
AUUGAACGCUGGCGGCAGGCCUAACACAUGCAAGUCGAGCGAGCGGCGGACGGGUGAGUAAUGUCUGGGAAACUGCCUGAUGGGGGGGGAUAACUACUGGAAACGGUAGCUCAUACCGCAUACCAUCAGAUGUGCCUAGAUGGGAUUAGCUAGUAGGUGGGGUAAUGGCUCACCUAGGCAAUGAUCCCUAGCUGGUCUGAGAGGAUGACCAGCCACACUGGAACUGAGACACGGUCAAGACUCCGACGGGAGGCAGCAGUGGGGAAUAUUGCACAAUGGGCGCAAGCCUGAUGCAGCCAUGCCGCGUGUAUGAAGAAGGCCUUCGGGUUGUAAAGCACUUUCAGCGGGGAGGCGUUACUCGCAGAAGAAGCACCGGCUAACUCCGUGCCAGCCGCCGCGGUAAUUC